UUCAGUUGUUUUUUUUUUAUUAAAAUUAAAUUAAAUUCACGUGCAUACACACUCACACUUACACACACACACACAUUUAACCUUACAUCUUACCCACUCUUAUCUUUUUCUUUUCUUAUUUUUUAUUCACGAUCGGUUUCUUUUUAGGUUAUAGAGUCAUUUGUUUAAAAAUUAACUUCAACCCUCACUCAUACACACGCACACACACACACUUCUGGCUCUUUCUAGAAGAGUACUCUUACACACGCUCUUUUAGGAAGAGUUUUCUUACUCUUUCCCGUCCGUCCGUUUUUUUUUUAAUUAAAUUCUCGCGUCGUCUCGUCGUUUAUUAAACUGGGUUUAGUAAUCAGUUCGGUGGUUUUUUUUUACGUUUAUUUUAAUUGAAUAAUUUAUCGGGUAGUUAGCGUAGAGUCAGUCGCUUCGGUAAAUUUUUACAAGGCGUGAAGUUUCGUUGCUUGAUGAUGGUGCGCAACAUCAUCAUGCAUAUAAGAUCUUCCUGGGAAACCAAAUUAAUCCUGAUCCUUGCGAAUUAAUCAGGGAUUAAACAUGUUCACCCUUUGAGUGCCCGGGCGCAAUUUGGGUGACGGUUUAAUCUCUUUUUCAUUUUCUUUGAUCAAUUCUUUUGGUUUCCAAGUCUUAAAAUUUAUCGAACGGCAUUUUUAAAAUUAAUAAUUAAUAAAAAUAGAGUCAUUUGGUUGCUAACUAGCCCUUUUUGCUCCGCGAUUAGAUUUUUUACUUACAAUGAAAUUAGGUAGUAUACCAUCGAGCUGAUUUCGCGGUUCGCGGUUCGCGUGUUUUUUCUACUUAAAUUCUCUCGCGGUCUCUACCCUAUCUUUCACACAUUCUUUCACACACACACUCACACACACACACACUCAUCCUUACCACCCCCUUCUUUUUGAUUAAUUUAUUAAUAAAAUAAUAAAGUAGAGUCAUUUUUAUUUUUACCAGAAACCUAUAUCGUGCCUACUAGAGUCGCUUCUUUUUUCUUUUCUCACCCUCUCCUUGUCGUGAGAGCCAACUCACGACAAAAUCACCCCUUACACUUUCAUUCACCGGCUACCGUAUUUUUUCUUUUAAUAAUUUAAUUCAUUUUAUAAUAAAUGAACAAAAAAGUUAGAGUCACGCGUGCAGGCACAUACAAUCGACUCGCAAAAGUAUUUAAAACUACUUCUUGCGUUCGAUUCGUUGCCUUUUUUAUAAUGUUUUUUUAUAUUCGAUUUAUGAAUCAAUUUGACAUCCAUCACCAACCUCAUUAUUUGGCAUUGAAAACUACCGCGAAUUUUUUAAUUAGUUCGUUUCGGAAUUGUUAAUCGAUAAUGUCUGAUAAGAGAGCGUAACCUUCCAGGCGGUUCGACGUCAGCUUCUUCUUACCCCGGAUACAUAUUAUCCUGUCGUGAGGAUCUUUCGUUGAUUCUCGGUGUGACAAUCGAUUCGGCGAUUCGCUUAUCAACCGAUUUGAUAGCAAGCAAAAUGGCCAGCCAGUCAUUUUGCAAGCUCGACAAUCUGUUGUCACAUCGAUAUCAUCAAACAUUCAAACGGUGGGGUUAAAUAUAGACUCUGGGGUGAGAUAAGGGGUUGAUUAGUCGACCAAUCGGUGGCCCAACGCUCGAUACAUCAGCAACUAUCGUAUUGAUCGAUUCUUUUCGUUAUUAGUGUUUAAAUAAACAAUUAAUUAGUUUGAAAUCGAGGGGGUAUAAAAAGGGGGCUGUUAAUCAGUGUUUUAGUGUGUUUCAACAGGUACCCAUAAGGAUUCAACCAAGGAUGCGGAGGACAACAUAAUUCAACCAAGGAUUCAAUACGGAUGGACCAAUAAUCAAGGAUAGAGGAAGCCAAUCAACGCAGCCAACAAUAAAGGAUCAAGGAUUCAAAGGAUUUAAGAAUGCCACGAUUAAGCCAAGGAACCCUAGGAUGCAGACAAGGAUUCAAGGAGUCAACCAAGGACCAGCGAACAAAGGAAAGACAAGGACUACGGGAAAAAGGACCAGUGGACCAGCCAAAUGGAAGCGGGGACCAGGAGCACCAGGACUAGGAAUGGAGACCAACAGUAAACGG
rnacentral:lncRNA from 1 species